GAGCAGCCUCUCCUGGGUUUGGUCUGACUAACAGCUGAGCCAGCAGAAACCAAAGUGGUCAAGUCUGACAUGGCAGUAAUAAGGCCCGGGCAGCACAAAGUCAGAACCAAAUGAAUCUCCUCAACUUUGAAUUUGUCCAGGACACACCGUCCGUUUGCCUGCUGGCACCUGCCCAAGGGAAGGCUUUAUUUCAGCAGUGAAGUGUAUGGUGGAGUGAGUUUGGAAACUACUGAGGGAGAAAAAAUGGUGCUCUAUGUGAUGCUGAUACUGGUGUAAUGUGCUUGCCCUUGGAAAGCAGCACAGGUAACUGCUGAAGAGAGCUCAGGUGCACCGUUUCGUUAGCUGAGCCGUUUGCCAUGCCUAGCCUGUUUGUUGUGCUUUCUCCAUGCAGGACAACCUUGCCCCCUGCCAGCCCCCAUCAUUACCAGCAUUUCUCACCUGUCCUGCUUUGGCGUUUUCGCAAACAAAAGAUUCGUAGAACCUUGCAAACUCCGGCGCAUUGUCAUUCACAUCCAGGACUUUCACAGUCACAGAGACACUGCCCACCUGCGAGGGAUUGUCUGGAAGGAGGAGGGAGAACAUAAAGAAAGGCAACUUGUGCAAGGGAAAAAAA